GCACUGGUGAUGUAAGGCGUAGCAUCGCUGCCCCGAAAUCAGAAGGUGCGGGUUCAAUUCCCGCCUGGCGCA
rnacentral:tRNA from 1 species